UUAAAAUAUACUUUGUCUUUUCCACGGGUUGGGCCAUCUGGUGCAAUGUACCGGGUGUGUGUUGGUGGUGGUGGGAGGAGAGGACGGGUGGAUGGUGGAGGUGGUCUUUGUGGUCUGAGUGGUUGUGUGUGUGGGUGUGUUGGUGUGGGUCUGGUGUGUUCUGUGGUUUGAUAUGUGUGUGUGGGUCUAUUGUGGUGAUGGUGGGUGUGUGGGGGUCUAUACUGAAGGCUGGGGGGUCUAUAACGGGAUGUAGGUGUGGGAGGUAGCGUGCGUCUGUUGUGUGCGUGGUAGUGUGGCUGUGUGGUGUUGGUGUGAUUGGUGUAGGUAGGCCUCCAGGGUGAAGACACUUCAAUAAAGAUAGAUCUAUUUCAAAAGGGUGGAGCUGUGAGGGGGCUCUGACCUGCUGACGGAGAGGGUGGUGGUCCCGUGGUGGGUAGAGGAGAGGGUGGUGGUCCCGUGGUGGGUAGAGGAGAGGGUGGUGGUCCCGUGGGGAGGAGAGGGUGGUGGUCCCGUGGUGGGUAGCCUGAGAGGGUGGUGGUCCCGUGGUGGGUAGCCUGAGAGGGUGGUGGUCCCGUGGUGGGUAGAGGAGAGGGUGGUGGUCCCGUGGUGGGUAGCCUGAGAGGGUGGUGGUCCCGUGGUGGGUAGAGGAGAGGGUGGUGGUCCCGUGGUGGGUAGAGGAGAGGGUGGUGGUCCCGUGGUGGGUAG
ensembl:lncRNA